UUAAUAUUUAAAAGUCUACCUAAUAAUUAUUUAAAAUAAUAAAUAUUUUUAUACAAUACACGUAACUGCCUCCCAGUUUGUCGGUGGUAAAAUUCUGAGUCUUUUAGUCUUAUAUGCGGGUGCCUUGGUGUCAUACAGUCUUUGGGAAGUAAAUAAAUUACUUCCUAAUGCCAACCUUUGAAGUGCGAAUAGGCGUCUCCUGAACCAGUCACCCAAUCAGCUUUCUCGGGUCUCUAAGACAAAGAAGAAGACUUAUUUGGUCCUCAGUCAAGUAAAGGACAAAGCUGCAGCACACGGGGUCAAAAUACCUACAUCUCUAUAAGCAGGAUAACGACAACGGGAUAGGUGAAGAUGGCGCAAUCAAUUUUUUGGCUGCUGUUUGUUUCGUGUAGAAUCAAUCCUGGAUACGCUUGGUAAGACAUGUAUACACUAGUUGCAUGCAUGCUUUAAAAUAAGUGAACAGAAGACAGAAUUAUAUGACUUUUAUUAUUAUUAUUAUCAUUAUUAUUAUUGUUCUCAGGGUCGCAAGCAAUUUUCUGAUGACGGGGUCAAAGGACUAUCUCACCUACGCAAAGAGCGUGCAGGUGGGCACACAGAUUGGCGUCCAGGAGUGCAAACGCCAGUUUGCCUGGGAUAGAUGGAACUGCCCCGACAGCGCAACCCAGCUUAAAGGACUGAAACGAGCCACCAGAGAAACGGCUUUCGUUCAUGCUAUCAGUUCAGCAGGGGUCAUGUACACUCUGACCAGGAACUGCAGUCUUGGUGAACUCGAAAACUGUGGCUGCGAUGGUUCAAAGAACGGAAAGCUUGGUGAGUCAACGUACAGCGCCAUUUGUCAACAUGCAAGUUCUUAAUUAAUGAUCUUUAAGUAUUCAAAACUGUGUCGUGCAGGCGGUCG